rnacentral:rRNA from 1 species
CAGCAGCCGCGGGAAUACGUAGGGUGCGAGCGUUAAUCGGAAUUACUGGGCGUAAAGCGUGCGCAGGCGGUUCGUUAAGACAGAUGUGAAAUCCCCGGGCUUAACCUGGGAACUGCAUUUGUGACUGGCGAGCUAGAGUAUGGCAGAGGGGGGUAGAAUUCCUCGUGUAGCAGUGAAAUGCGUAGAGAUGUGGAGGAAUACCGAUGGCGAAGGCAGCCCCCUGGGCCAAUACUGACGCUCAUGCACGAAAGCGUGGGGAGCAAACAGGAUUAGAUACCCCAGUAGUCCCUGUCUCUUAUAC